UCUAUAUCUAAAAUGUCAAGCAAAGUGUUACUAAGGUCAAGUUCCUUGUUUGUGUGCAGAAACUUGAAUAAAAGCCGAUUCUAAUUCCAUUUUUGUAUCCAAACUACUUCUCAAAUUUGAAUCUUUUAAACUGUACUUGCCAUUAGUUGCCCAGGAAACCAAAAGCACCAGUCAGACCGAUCGAUUCAAAGCAAACAAGCAAACUUGCGAGGACGUAUUGGACAUCUGUCUCUGCUGAACGCCAGAGCCCAAUCACAAAUGGAGGACGUUGAGGCGGAUGACCAGAGCCACAUGAGCGGCUCAGUGGCGUCUUUACCUUUUGAGUCCCUUUUGAUUCUUUUUGACUUGAGUUCACACUGAUGAUGUAAACUGAACUAUAGCAACAUCAACAGGAGCGAAACUCAUGACGACUGUGUGAGCAAAGUCCGUCCACACUGGAGGGAGGCCAUACAGCUGUGGCCAGUGUGAGAAGAGAUUUACCCGCACACAGAAUCUGACAGUCCAUCAGUACGACUGCAGAAGUCAUCACAUUAUAUCAUGAAGGGAUAUUUUUCAAAAGCCCGUCACCAACAUACAAUGAACAUCUUGGAAUGCAUGGAAACAGUUUCAAUACAAAAAAAUAAAAAUAAAAAUCACA